CAUACUUUUUCAGAGUCCAUCCAGCAAAAGAAAGAAAACCAGUCUUUGAGAGAAGCAUUGGCUAACGAGCAUGCAAAUAACAUAUUUUCAGCCUGCAUGAAUCAGAAUAGAAUGCUCCAGAGAUUUCUGGCGAGGCCAUUGAAUCAGAUGUGUCAAAAAUUUCCUUGAUUGACGAUGAUCACUACAGACCUAGACGGAGAAUCCAAAUCGAAAAAUGUAAAUACGUGUUCCUAGAACAGGACGAGAG